UAGGGAAUCUUCCACAAUGGACGCAAGUCUGAUGGGGCAACGCCGCGUGAGUGAAGAAGGCUUUCGGGUCGUAAAACUCUGUUGUUGGAGAAGAAUGGUCGGCAGAGUAACUGUNGUCGGCGUGACGGUAUCCAACCAGAAAGCCACGGCUAACUACGUGCCAGCAGCCGCGGUAAUACGUAGGUGGCAAGCGUUAUCCGGAUUUAUUGGGCGUAAAGCGAGCGCAGGCGGUUUUUUAAGUCUGAUGUGAAAGCCCUCGGCUUAACCGAGGAAGCGCAUCGGAAACUGGGAAACUUGAGUGCAGAAGAGGACAGUGGAACUCCAUGUGUAGCGGUGAAAUGCGUAGAUAUAUGGAAGAACACCAGUGGCGAAGGCGGCUGUUUGGUCUGUAACUGACGCUGAGGCUCGAAAGCAUGGGUAGCGAACAGGAUUAGAUACCCUGGUAGUCCAUGCCGUAAACGAUGAAUGCUAGGUGUUGGAGGGUUUCCGCCCUUCAGUGCCGCAGCUAACGCAUUAAGCAUUCCGCCUGGGGAGUACGACCGCAAGGUUG
rnacentral:rRNA from 1 species